AUCAACGCUGGCGGCGUGCCUCAGACAUGCAAGUCGAACGCGAAAGCCUCCUUCGGGGGGCAAGUAGAGUGGCGCACGGGUGAGUAACACGUAGGUAAUCUACCUUUGGAUUGGGAAUAACAACCGGAAACGGUUGCUAAUACCGAAUAAUGCAGCGGCACCUAAUGGUGACAGUUGUUAAAGCGGGGGAUCGCAAGACCUCGCGUCUAAAGAGGAGCCUGCGGCGGAUUAGCUAGUUGGUAAGGUAACGGCUUACCAAGGCGAUGAUCCGUAGCCGGCCUGAGAGGGCGGUCGGCCACACUGACACUGACAUACGGGUCAGACUCCUACGGGAGGCAGCAGUCGGGAAUUUUGGGCAAUGGGCGAAAGCCUGACCCAGCAACGCCGCGUGAGGGAUGAAAUCCCUCGGGAUGUAAACUUCGCAAGAACGAGAAGAAUAAGUAGGAGUUAAUAUCUCUUACGAUGACGGUACUGUUUGUAAGCUCCGGCUAACUCCGUGCCAGCAGCCGCGGUAAUACGGGGGGAGCAAGCGUUGUUCGGAUUUACUGGGCGUAAAGGGCGCGUAGGCGGCCACCGCAAGUCGACUGUGAAAUCUCCGGGCUUAACCCGGAAAGGUCAGCCGAUACUGCGGGGCUAGAGUGCAGAAGGGGCAACUGGAAUUCUCGGUGUAGCGGUGAAAUGCGUAGAUAUCGAGAGGAACACCUGCGGCGAAGGCGGGUUGCUGGGCUGACACUGACGCUGAUGUGCGAAAGCUAGGGGAGCGAACGGGAUUAGAUACCCUGGUAGUCCACGCCCUAAACGAUGAUUACUCGACGUUGGCGAUACACUGAUCAGCGUCCAAGCGAAAGCAUUAAGUAAUCCACCUGGGAAGUACGUUCGCAAGAAUGAAACUCAAAGGAAUUGACGGGGGUCCGCACAAGCGGUGGAGCAUGUGGUUUCAAUUCGACUGCAUACGCGAAGGAACCUUACCUGGGCUCGAAUCGCAGUGGAUCCGCUGGUGAAAGCCAGUCUGCUCCGCAAUGCACAGCUUCGUAGGUGCUGCAUGGCUGUCGUCAGCUCGUGUCCGUGAGGAUGUUGGGUUAAGUCCCGCAACGAGCGCAACCCCUUAUCUUCAGUUGCCGACCUGGUCAAUGCCGGGCAACUCUGGCGAAACCGCCGUCGUAAGACGGGAGGAAGGUGGGGAUGACUGUCAGGUCCUCAUGGCCUUUAUGUCCCAGGGCUACACACGUGCUACAAUGGGCGGAGACAAACCGGUCGCUACCCUGAGGGAAGGAUGCUAAUCUCAAAAAUCCCUCUCAGUUCGAUUGGAGUCCUGCAACUCGACUCCAUGAAGCUGGAAUCGCUAGUAAUCGCAGAUCAGACCUGGCGGUGAAUACGUUCCCGGGCCUUGUACACACCGCCCGUCAGCAUCACGAAGCUGGGGACCACUAGAAGCCGUGGCUAACCGCUAAGGGAGCAGCCGUCCAGGUAUAGUUCAUGAUUGGGGUG
rnacentral:rRNA from 1 species